rnacentral:rRNA from 1 species
GGCAGAGGUCUCGAGCGUUAGGCGGAAUCACUGGGCUUAAAGCGUGUGUAGGUGGAUGCCUAAGUACCUUGUGAAAUCCCACGGCUUAACCGUGGAACUGCUUGGUAUACUGGGUGUCUUGAGCCAGCUAGGGGCUACCGGAACAAAUGGUGGAGCGGUGAAAUGCGUAGAUAUCAUUUGGAACGCCAAUGGUGAAAACAGGUAGCUGGGGCUGUGCUGACACUGAGACACGAAAGCCAGGGGAGCGAACGGG